AGUCCAUGGUGAGGACACAUUCUCAACAAAUCCUUAAAUCUCUCCCAUGUAUCAUAACAGUCUCAAUAUCAAAUUGAAAAAAAGAAGAGAUGUCAAUCUUCAACUU
rfam:Gossypium raimondii Chr02_contig_1069, whole genome shotgun sequence.